rnacentral:rRNA from 1 species
AACGAACGCUGGCGGCAUGCCUAACACAUGCAAGUCGAACGAGACCUUCGGGUCUAGUGGCGCACGGGUGCGUAACGCGUGGGAACCUGCCCUUAGGUUCGGAAUAACUCCCCGAAAGGGGUGCUAAUACCGGAUAAUGUCUUCGGACCAAAGAUUUAUCGCCUUUGGAUGGGCCCGCGUUGGAUUAGCUGGUUGGUAGGGUAAAAGCCUACCAAGGCGACGAUCCAUAGCCGGUCUGAGAGGAUGAUCAGCCACACUGGGACUGAGACACGGCCCAGACUCCUACGGGAGGCAGCAGUGGGGAAUAUUGGACAAUGGGCGAAAGCCUGAUCCAGCAAUGCCGCGUGAGUGAUGAAGGCCUUAGGGUUGUAAAGCUCUUUUACCCGGGAUGAUAAUGACAGUACCGGGAGAAUAAGCUCCGGCUAACUCCGUG